rnacentral:rRNA from 1 species
GAACGCUGGCGGCAUGCUUUACACAUGCAAGUCGAACGGGUAACAGGGAGCUUGCUCCGCUGACGAGUGGCGAACGGGUGAGUAAUGCAUCGGAACGUACCCAGUCGUGGGGGAUAACGUAGCGAAAGUUACGCUAAUACCGCAUACGUCCUGAGGGAGAAANCGGGGGAUCGCAAGACCUCGCGCGACUGGAGCGGCCGAUAUCAGAUUAGGUAGUUGGUGAGGUAAAGGCUCACCAAGGCGACGAUCUGUAGCGGGUCUGAGAGGAUGAUCCGCCGCACUGGAACUGAGACACGGUCCAGACUCCUACGGGAGGCAGCAGUGGGGAAUUUUGGACAAUGGGGGCAACCCUGAUCCAACAAUGCCGCGUGAGUGAAGAAGGCCUUCGGGUUGUAAAGCUCUUUUGUCAGGGAAGAAACAGCAGCUCUAACACAGUCUGCGAAUGACGGUACCUGAAGAAUAAGCACCGGCUAACUACGUG